GGCACUGCAUCUCAGUGCAAGAGAUGUCACUACAGUCCCUGGUUCGAAUCCAGGCAGUACCA
rnacentral:tRNA from 1 species